GGCCAAGCUACAAGGGUAUAUGGUGGAUGCCUUGGCACUAGAAGUCGAUGAAGGACGCGAUAAGCUGCGAUAAGCCACGGGGAGGAGCAAAUAUCUUUUGAUCCGUGGAUUUCCGAAUCGGGAAACCGUUAGAGGUACUCCCUCUAAAUCUUCACGUAAAGUGAGGGCCGUCAGGCCUUUAGAUAGCGUGCUGAAGACAACCCUGGGAAGUGAAACAUCUUAGUACCAGGAGGAAUAGAAAUCAAAGAGAUUCCGUCAGUAGUGGCGAGCGAACGCGGAACAGCCUAAACCGUCCGGAUUUAUUCGGACGGUGUUGCAGGGUCCUUCCGGUUUAGAACCGGGAAGUUACAAACCGUCAGAUAGCCGAACUCUCUGGAAAGUGAGACCAUAGCGGGUGACAGUCCCGUAGGCGAAAUCAAAGCGGCUUCCGAAGGAUACCUAAGUACCACUGGGCACGUGAAAUCCGGUGGGAAUCUGGGGAGACCACUCUCCAAGGCUAAAUACUCUCUAGUGACCGAUAGUGAACAAGUACCGCGAGGGAAAGGCGAAAAGAACCCGUGACCGGGAGUGAAAUAGAACCUGAAACCGUAUAUCUACAAACUGUCAAAGAGCUAUGCCCCGACCGCAAGGGGAGGGAAUGCUCGAUGGCGUGCCUGUUGAAGAAUGAUCCGGCGAGUUACGUAGUGCGAGCAAGGUUAAGUCGGCAGUAAACGACGGAGCCGUAGCGAAAGCAAGUCUGAAUAGGGCGAUUAGUUCGCAUUAGUAGACUCGAAGCCAAGUGAUCUUACCCUGGCCAGGAUGAAGUCACCUUAACCGGUGAUGGAGGUCCGAAGUGUUAAACGUUGAAAAGUUUCUACAUGAGUUGGGGUAAGGGGUGAAAGGCCAAUCGAACUUGGUGAUAGCUAGUUCUCCCCGAAAUAUCUAUAGGGAUAGCGUCGUGGAUUAACCCGCGGGGGUAGAGCACUGAAUGAUGUAGGCUGAGCGACCCUCGGUCCGAACUCAAUCAAACUCCGAAUACCGCGGCGAAUAACACGGCAGUCAGUUCGUGAGGGAAAAGCUUCACGUGCAAGAGAGAAACAGCUCAGACCGCCGAUCUAGGUCCCAAAGUACAUGCUAAGUGGCAAAGGAUGUGGGUUUACAUAAACAGCUAGGAGGUUGGCUUAGAAGCAGCCACCCUUUGAAGAGUGCGUAACAGCUCACUAGUCUAGCGAACCUGCGCCGAAAAUGACACGGGGCUAAGCAUGUCACCGCAAUCGCGGAUGUACGAAGGAGAGAUCCGUCGUACGUGGUAGGGGAGCGUUCUUGACGCAGCGAAGGCGUACUGAAAAGAGCGCUGGAGCGUCAAGAAGCGAGGAUGCCGGAAUAAGUAGCGAUAAACAAGGUGAGAAUCCUUGUCACCGAAAGCCUAAGGGUUCCUUGAGCAACGUUCGUCGGCUCAGGGUCAGUCGGGCCUAAGUCGAGGCCGAAAGGCGUAGACGAUGGACAUCUGGUUAAUAUUCCAGAACUAUAGUGGACGCGUUAUCACCUAAGGAGGGACGCAGUAGCGCAAGCUUACCGGGUAAAGGUUGUUCCGGAGAAAGAAGGAAGGCCAGGUCAGAUAGGAAAAUCCGUUUGACCGUUAAAGCUGGAAUUCGAGACGAGCCUGGGUAACACCAGGCGAAGUGGCCCAAGCACGCUGCCUAGAAAAACUUCGUAGGGAGUUUUCACUAUAACCGUACCGUAAUCCGACACAGGUGGGCGAGUUGAGUAUACUAAGGUGCGCGAGAUAAUCUACGUUAAGGAACUAGGCAAACUGGCUCCGUAACUUCGGAAUAAGGAGCGCCCCGGUAGUGGUGUGGGAUUUAAAGACCACGCGACGAAAGGGCCGCAGUGAAAUGGGGAUCGUGACUGUUUAACAAAAACUUAGCUCUCUGCUGAAAUCGCAAGAUGAUGUAUAGGGAGUGAUGCCUGCCCGGUGCUGGAAGGUCAAGGGGAGGGGUUAGCCGCAAGGCGAAGCUUCGAACUUAAGCCCCAGUAAACGGCGGCGGUAACUAUAACCGUCCUAAGGUAGCGAAAUUCCUUGUCGGGUAAGUUCCGACCUGCACGAAUGGCAUAACAAAGAUCCCGCUGUCUCAACGUAGAGCUCGGCGAAAUUGUGGUGCAAGUGAAGACGCUUGCUGCGCGUAUCUAGACGAAAAGACCUCGUGGAGCUUUACUGUAUCUUGUCAUUGAUUUACGGUUUUAGUUGCGUAGGAUAGGUGGGAGCCGGUGAUCCCAGGGUUUUGGCCCUGGGGGAGGCAACGGUGAAAUACCACCCUAUUGAAAUUGUGAAUCUAACCUCGUAGCCGUGAUCCGGCCGAGGAACAUUGGCAGGUGGGCAGUUUGACUGGGGCGGUCGCCUCCCAAAGAGUAACGGAGGCGUACCAAGGUUUCCUCAAGGCGAAUAGAAAUCGCCUGUCGAGCGCAAUGGUAGAAGGAAGCUUGACUGUGAGGCCGACGGGCCGAACAGGGACGAAAGUCGGUCAUAGUGAUCCGGUGGUACCUCGUGGGAGGGCCAUCGCUCAACGGAUAAAAGCUACCCCGGGGAUAACAGGCUGAUCUGGUCCAAGAGUCCACAUCGACGACCAGGUUUGGCACCUCGAUGUCGGCUCAUCGCAUCCUCCCGCUGAAGCAGGUGGGAAGGGUUGGGCUGUUCGCCCAUUAAAGCGGUACGUGAGCUGGGUUCAGUACGUCGUGAGACAGUACGGUCUCUAUCUGAUAUGCGCGCAGGAUACUUGAGGGGAGCUGCCUACAGUACGAGAGGACCUAGGUGGACGAACCGCCCGUAUACCAGUUGUCGUGCCAACGGCAUAAGCUGGGUAGCGGUGUUCGGUAGGGAUAAACGCUGAAAGCAUCUAAGCGUGAAACCCGCCCCAAGAUAAGGUAUCCCUGGACUUAAUUGUCCCUAAAGACCCCCAGAAGACUACUGGGUUGAUAGGUCAGGUGUGUAAGCAUAGCAAUAUGUUCAGCUAACUGAUACUAAUCGGUCGUGAGGCUUGGCCUU
rnacentral:rRNA from 1 species